AGCUCCAAUAGCGUAUAUUAAAGUUGUUGCGGUUAAAAAGCUCGUAGUUGGAUCUCGGCGGGCAGGGGGCGGUUCGUUGUAUGACGCUACUGUUCCAUUUGCCCGUGUUUUUGGCGGAGGUUUCAGGGUGCUCUUAACCGAGUGCUCUGGGAUGCCGCCAGGUUUACUUUGAAAAAAUUAGAGUGCUCAAAGCAGGCUUUACACGCUUGAAUAUUCGUGCAUGGAAUAAUGAAAUAGGACGUCGCUUCUAUUUUGUUGGUUUUCGGAAAUCGACGUAAUGAUUAAUAGGGACAGUCGGGGGCAUUAGUAUUCAGACGACAGAGGUGAAAUUCUUGGACCGUCUGAAGACUCACUACUGCGAAAGCAUUUGCCAAGAAUGUUUUCA
rnacentral:rRNA from 1 species